rnacentral:rRNA from 1 species
GUUUAUGGCCAUAGUACCCUGAAAACUCCUGAUUUCAUCUGGUCUCAGAAGCUAAGCAGGGUUGAAUCUGGAUACUACUUGAAUUGGAGACUGCCUGAGAAUAUUGGCUGAUGUUGGCU